rnacentral:rRNA from 1 species
ACGAACGCUGGCGGCGUGCCUAACACAUGCAAGUCGAACGGAGAUACAGGGGCUUGCCCCUGUAUCUUAGUGGCGGACGGGCGAGUAACGCGUGAGGAACCUGCCCUUCAGUGGGGAAUAACGGCUGGAAACGGUCGCUAAUACCGCAUGACACAUUGGUACCGCAUGAUACUGAUGUCAAAGGAGCAAUCCGCUGAAGGAUGGCCUUGCGUCCGAUUAGCUAGUUGGUGGGGUAACGGCCUACCAAGGCGACGAUCGGUAGCCGAACUGAGAGGUUGAUCGGCCGCAUUGGGACUGAGACACGGCCCAGACUCCUACGGGAGGCAGCAGUGGGGGAUAUUGGUCAAUGGGGGAAACCCUGAACCAGCAACGCCGCGUGAGGGAAGACGGCCUUCGGGUUGUAAACCUAAGUGAUCAGGGACGAAGGAAGUGACGGUACCUGAAAAGCAAGCUCCGGCUAACUACGUGCCAGCAGCCGCGGUAAUACGUAGGGAGCGAGCGUUGUCCGGAUUUACUGGGUGUAAAGGGUGCGUAGGCGGGAAAGCAAGUCAGGUGUGAAAUACCGGGGCUCAACUCCGGGGCUGCGCUUGAAACUGUUUUUCUUGAGUGAAGUAGAGGCAGGCGGAAUUCCUAGUGUAGCGGUGGAAUGCGUAGAUAUUAGGAGGAACACCAGUGGCGAAGGCGGCCUGCUGGGCUUUAACUGACGCUGAGGCACGAAAGCAUGGGGAGCAAACAGGAUUAGAUACCCUGGUAGUCCAUGCUGUAAACGAUGAUUGCUAGGUGUGGGGGGACUGACCCCUUCCGUGCCGGAGUAAACACAAUAAGCAAUCCACCUGGGGAGUACGACCGCAAGGUUGAAACUCAAAGGAAUUGACGGGGGCCCGCACAAGCAGUGGAGUAUGUGGAUUAAUUCGACGCAACGCGAAGAACCUUACCAGGUCUUGACAUCCGGCUAACGAAGCAGAGAUGCAUUAGGUGCCCUUCGGGGAAAGUCGAGACAGGUGGUGCAUGGUUGUCGUCAGCUCGUGUCGUGAGAUGUUGGGUUAAGUCCCGCAACGAGCGCAACCCUUAUCCUUUGUUGCCAGCGGUCCGGCCGGGAACUCAAAGGAGACUGCCAGUGAUAAACUGGAGGAAGGUGGGGAUGACGUCAAAUCAUCAUGCCCCUUAUGACCUGGGCUACACACGUGCUACAAUGGGAAGUACAACGAGUCGCAAAGUCGCGAGGCUAAGCUAAUCUCUUAAAGCUUCUCUCAGUUCGGAUUGUAGGCUGCAACUCGCCUACAUGAAGUCGGAAUCGCUAGUAAUCGCGGAUCAGCAUGCCGCGGUGAAUACGUUCCCGGGCCUUGUACACACCGCCCGUCACACCAUGAGAGCCGGGGGGACCCGAAGUCGGUAGUCUAACCGUAAGGAGGACGCCGCCGAAGGUAAAACUGGUGAUUGGGGUG